rnacentral:misc_RNA from 1 species
GGGAUUGCAGUGGGUUUGUUGAGGAGAAAGAGCUGCAACAAGCUCUUUCUUCUGGUUACCAAAGGUUUAGUCUAAGGACUAUUCGUUUGUUAAUCUUUCUUUUCAAGAAUCCAUCUGAGUAUUUUCCAAGGAUUGGACCAAAGGAAUUUGCUGCACUAUGGAGCUGUCUUGGUCAAUGGAGGGCCAUUUUUGAGAGAUUUGACAGAGAUCGAAGUGGAAAGAUUGAUGCAACAGAACUAAGGGAUGCUCUCUACAGUCUUGGGUACAUGGUGCCACCUUCUGUUCUUGAAGUUUUGAUUUCCAGAUAUACUGAUGGAAGUGGUAGGAGACCCGAGCUGUGUUUUGAUAGUUUUGUCGAAUGUGGGAUGGUUGUGAAGGGCUUGACCGAAAAGUUUAAGGAGAAAGACACGCGUUAUACUGGCUCAGCGAAACUGACGUAUGAUGAGUUCAUGGCCAUGAUCUUACCUUUCCUUGUGUCAUACUAGGAUGCUAGAAAUUCAUUUCUUAUUUCAUUUAUUGUUCGUGGAUUGUGUCAAUAUUGUGAUCUUGACAUUGUAUAUUUACAAUUGUCUGUACAAGUGUUUUCAUGUCAAUUCUUGUUCAUAUGUAUAAAGUUCUGAUCAAUAAUAUAAGAAAAC